rnacentral:rRNA from 1 species
GACGAACGCUGGCGGCGUGCUUAACACAUGCAAGUCGAACGGAAAGGCCCUGCUUGCCGGGUGCUCGAGUGGCGAACGGGUGAGUAACACGUGGGUGAUCUGCCCCUUAUUUUGGGAUAAGCCUGGGAAACUGGGUCUAAUACUGGAUAGGACCAUGCUGUAGGUGGUGUGGUGGAAAGAUUAGUUUCGGUAAGGGAUGAGCUCGCGGCCUAUCAGCUUGUUGGUGGGGUAAUGGCCUACCAAGGCGUCGACGGGUAGCCGGCCUGAGAGGGUGGACGGCCACAUUGGGACUGAGAUACGGCCCAGAAUCCUACGGGAGGCAGCAGUGGGGAAUAUUGCACAAUGGGCGCAAGCCUGAUGCAGCGACGCCGCGUGGGGGAUGACGGCCUUCGGGUUGUAAACUCCUUUCAGCCAUGACGAAGCCCUUGUGGUGACGGUAGUGGUAGAAGAAGCACCGGCUAACUACGUG